rnacentral:lncRNA from 10 species
CGGCGCUGGCGAAGAGCUGCUGCGCGGUGAGGCCGGCCUCGGACACGUAGCGGGUGCUGCCGCUGAUCAGGUUCAAGGAGUACAUGUGCAAGUUUUCAAGUUUUUUACCUGGGCUCAACACCACAUGGAAGCUGCCGAUGCUUGGGGCUUCCACCCUCUGAAGCAACAGCCUGAGCUGUACCUUGGCCCCUUUUAGUCAAGGCUGGAGCAGCUGGGAUGAAGAUUUCUUCCAGAGCCAGUGUCACCAAAGUAUAUACUUAGAUGACAAACCAGGGGUUCCUGCCACAGUUUUGCCACUGUGCCUGCUCCUCAGCCACAUCAUUCCAUGUAGCCAUUUUAGCCAGGGCAUCAUUGACCAAGGUCUGACAAUUAUGAGAAGAAUAGAAGAUCCUGUGAAGCCAUUAUUAGCUCUUGACUCAAUGGCAACAGCCCUUUUUUCCAUUUGAACUAACGCAGUUGUAAAACCUUGGGCAAGUAGUUCAAUGUGCCUGGACCUCAGUUUCCCUCAACUAUGCAAUGCAAUUAAUAAAUCCUACCUCUCAAAAGCAGAUUGUUCUAAAUAUUUACUGAGAU